rnacentral:rRNA from 1 species
AGAACGACUCUCGGCAACGGAUAUCUCGGCUCACGCAUCGAUGAAGAACGUAGCAAAAUGCGAUACUUGGUGUGAAUUGCAGAAUCCCGUGAACCAUCGAGUUUUUGAACGCAAGUUGCGCCCGAAGCCAUUUGGUUGAGGGCACGUCUGCCUGGGCGUCACG